rnacentral:rRNA from 1 species
UACGGAGGGUGCAAGCAUUAAUCGGAUUUAUUGGGCGUAAAGGGCGCGUAGGCGGGUGGAUAAGUCAGAUGUGAAAUUCCAAGGCUCAACUUUGGAGCUGCAUUUGAAACUAUUUACCUUGAGGGAUGGCGGAGAAAACGGAAUUCCACGUGUAGCGGUGAAAUGCGUAGAUAUGUGGAGGAACACCUGUGGCGAAAGCGGUUUUCUAGCUUAUACCUGACGCUGAGGCGCGAGAGCAAGGGGAGCAAACAGG